rnacentral:rRNA from 1 species
UACGAAGGGUGCAAGCGUUACUCGGAAUUACUGGGCGUAAAGCGUGCGUAGGCGGUUCGUUAAGUCUGUCGUGAAAGCCCUGGGCUCAACCUGGGAAUUGCGAUGGAUACUGGCAAGCUAGAGUACGGUAGAGGAUGGUGGAAUUCCCGGUGUAGCGGUGAAAUGCGUAGAGAUCGGGAGGAACACCCGUGGCGAAGGCGGCCAUCUGGACCAGUACUGACGCUGAGGCACGAAAGCGUGGGGAGCAAACAGG